AGAAUGUGGCCUCUUCUGGGGACACCGAAUUGGGGGCAUAUUUUCCCUAUCCUUAUGCCUGCUGUGAGCUGUCCUCAGGGCUCCUCCAAGGGACUUGCAUGAGAGGCAGCGGACAUUCUCCCUCACCAGAAGAGCACACGAUUUUGAUCUUAAUGUUGUGCCCUGAGGAUCUUGGAUGCCGUCCUUGGUCUUCUCCCAAAGUUGAAGCCACCAGCUGUUUUUUUGUAGAUCCAGUCAGUUGGGAAGUUCACUGAAUCCUUGUGGAGCAAAGACAAGAAUUUGUUAAAGAACCGUACCACAAAAUGACACAAAGGAAAGUCAUGGAAAAGUCAGAUUUGUUUCUUCCUGAAGUGGCAACUGAUUCAGCGUUGUGGUCAUGGAGUCGAAUUCCCAAUGUCUGAAGCAGAGAUAAAGCUUGAGCAGGACCUUCAGCUGCUGGAGUACAUGCUUCAUCUUGUGGUGGUUCGCACAAUGCCAGCAAGCCUUGAACAGCAUCCAUUUCUUGAAUGCCAUGACUGUGUCCUUCAUCUUCAACAGCAGGCAUCAGCUGCUGCAGCUCGGUGUUCACUAAAUCAAGGAUAAAUUUAAACUUAAAGGUUACCUUAAUUUCUAAAUCUUACCUGGAUGAAUGUCACUGAUUUCCAACAAGUCUGCCGUGUAUGAUACUUCAGCUAGUGGCUCAGCUGGUGGAAGCAUAUCAGUACCUAUGUCGUGGAAAAAUUGGAACAAAUUAGGAUGCUGAAAGGGAGCUGCUAUGUGAUUGUGAAGUAUUGCACUGUAAGCUCAUACCAGAAGAGUCAAUGUCAUCAAGCAGAAGUAAAGACCUCAUAGCUGCAGCGAGUGGUUGUUCAUCAGCUGGUGAGCUGGCUAUGGAGGUCUGUGGCCAGUGAAUGUCAGAAGUUUCUGACCCAUAAUUGCUCAUGUCAGGACUGGCAGUGCAAGAAGUAGUAUCUAAAAAAUUAAGGUACACAUAGUAAUCAUAAUCAAACUCCAACAAACUCAACCUCAUUUUGCUGUUUCAUACCAGUAAGUCCUGGGACAGUCAUUGGAGUGGAUGUAAAAGUAGGGCGAACUGCAGGAGCAGAAGGUGUUGCCCAGUUGAAAAAUGUUGGCACAUCAGCAAGUGAAAGAUUAUCUAGAAAAUGAAAGAACAUGACCAUGAUACCAAACUCUACUUCUGAUUAAGGAUGUUGUAUUACCCAACAGUUUGUAUUACCAGCAGAUACUGAAGUACCACCUUCAACAGGGCAAGCUGAAGGAGCCGAAGAUGUUGCACAGUUGUUUGAUGGUGCCACAUCAGCAAGUAAAAGAUUAUCUAGAAAAUAAAGAAACAUGACCAUAUACUAAACUCUACUUCUGAAUGAAUUAUGUGUUGAAUUACUGAAUUACUGAACAGUUUUGUAUUAC